UACGGAGGGAGCUAGCGUUGUUCGGAAUUACUGGGCGUAAAGCGCACGUAGGCGGCUUUGUAAGUUAGAGGUGAAAGCCCGGGGCUCAACUCCGGAACUGCCUUUAAGACUGCAUCGCUUGAAUCCAGGAGAGGUGAGUGGAGUUCCGAGUGUAGAGGUGAAAUUCGUAGAUAUUCGGAAGAACACCAGUGGCGAAGGCGGCUCACUGGACUGGUAUUGACGCUGAGACGCGAAAGCGUGGGGAGCGAACCGG
rnacentral:rRNA from 1 species